UUAGCUGGCUAGAUAGGUCAAAGAGGUUUUCUAAUCGAUUUUGUCCUAGGUUUGUGCAAUAAUCAAUACUUAGUUAAAGGGAGCGCAUGCCAUACCGGAUCCAUACAAUAUAUUCGUUAUUUUGUAUCUUUUUCUGUCUCCACAUUGUUAGCUAGCUAGCUAGCUAGUAACGUUAACUCACUGCUAACUGAAUACGUUACAGCUAGCCUACAGUAGUUUGGAAAUUGCUAUAGAUAUCCCUCCAGCCGUUAUUGAUAUCCAACAAGCGAGAUCUUAUGCAGAACGAUAAUUAGCAAUUCAAUAUGGAAGAUGAAACAUACACCGACAUCGACGGCAAGACCAUCUCUCUGGAGUGUCAAAGUCACUCGUUUUUUGUGCAGGGAGUUCACAGUCAGCCCCGCUAAAGUCUCCAUAGGCAGAAUGAUGGUGUACACUUGCGCUGUCUGCCUACACAUACUCUGAUUUACUGAUGUAAGGACACUAGGGCUGGUUCAGUCCCAAAUGGCACCAUAUUCCCUAUACAGUGUACUACUUAGAACCAAAAAGUACUACACUGUAUAUGAAAUAGGGCCAUUUGGGACUCCUCCUCGAUACCUACUGGCAUGUGCAUCAGUGGUCAACAAUCCUGCUCUUGGAGAUCUCCUGGGAGUGCAGGCUUUUGUUCUUGCCCGACACUAACAAUCUGUUUCAACCAACUGCAUCCGAUAUUGUGUUGUUGAAUCAGGUGUGUCAGUGCAGGGAUAGAACAAAAGCCCACAACACCAGUAGCUCUCCAGAGCCACAGUUGGUGACCACUAAACUAGGUGACUCAGACGUAUGCAUAGAGAUCAUAUGAUAUAUGUUAAUAUAUGCCUAAAUGUCUCUUACUGGUGUGACCUUGUACGGUUCAAUUAGUUCAACGUUAAUUUCAUCUACUUCAUUUCAGAACACAGCCAUUCUCUCCAGUGUCAUAAUCAUCACACUGGUCGGUAUGAUGGUUCACAUCCACUUUGUGAAGGUGGACCAUGAGACGCUGCUCAUCAUUGGUUCCCUGGGUGGCCAGGUGUCUUCUAGUGACACCUCCUGCACGGAGUCCUACAGACUUCAUAGAGAUGGGCAAGAUCAAAGACAUAGUAAUUAAUGAAGCAAUUCACAUGCAAACAGUCAUCUACUUCCUGUGCAUCCUGCUGAAGGACCUCGCAGAUCCCGAUGCCGUUUCUUGCGUGGUCCCGCUGUUUCAGCUCAAAGCCAAGAGUGAGCUGCCUUGUCAAAGUGUACAAGAGCUGCCAGGAGAUUCUACCAAAGUGCUGAUGGUGAUGACGUUAAAGGAAGUGCAUGCCAUUCCGGUGAUGGCGACGACGUCAUCCUGGUAAUUUGGUAAACCAUCUGGGUAAAGCACUGUCACUGACUUCACUGCAUACCAAGUCAUGCAACGUGUUUAUAAUAUUUAUUUGGUUUGGUUAUCAAUUCUCAAUGGAAGAAACUGAUGAUGAUACACCUGACAUCAUCAUCAUCAACUGAUUGUUUUUUAUCUACAUUUCGCUCUUUAAAUAUUUGGAGGUACUUUUCCACACGCCAGGUUUUCAGUAAUAGAAGAAACCUUUAAGUCGGUCAUCCAACUAAAAUACGAGUCUCGCUAGAGAAUAGUUUAUGAACGUAGGUCCUUACUUAAGAGUUACCUAAUGUCAUUAUUUAUUCAGAUGCCUUAAUACAACCUGUCUCAUUUUUAACAUUUUUAUAAUCAAUCUACCUGAACAAAGUGUUUCCUGUAACCAUGUCCUUCCUGUAACCAUAACUUUCAGGAUUUCUUAUUGAAACAAUCUAUUUAGAAAUAGUUUUUAAUUUAUGCUUUUUAAAUUAUUAUUGUAUAUAUUCUAUUUGAAGAGUUAAUAGUGUUUAUUAUCAUGUAAUAA